rnacentral:lncRNA from 1 species
CGAUUGUGUAGGCUUUUCUGGAGGUGAUUUUGGAGGCCAUUUCUGCGAUAUUGCUGAUUUUGGAGGUCAUUUCAAUGUCUAUUUCUGCGAUAAUGGUGAUGGAUUAAAGUUGCUUACAUUUAUUAAAGUCUUCUCUCCAUUCAAAGACUUUGGAUGCGAUUUUGGAGGUGAUAAUUUUAGCAUCUGCACUCCUCUAAUUCUUCUAAUUCUUCUAUCUUUCGGACUUC